rnacentral:rRNA from 1 species
GACGAACGCUGGCGGCGUGCCUAAUACAUGCAAGUCGAGCGCAGGAAACUGACGGAACUCUUCGGAGGGAAGGCAGCGGAAUGAGCGGCGGACGGGUGAGUAACACGUAAGGAACCUGCCUCAAGGAUUGGGAUAACUCCGAGAAAUCGGAGCUAAUACCGGAUAGUUCAACGGACCGCAUGGUCCGUUGAUGAAAGGCGCUCCGGCGUCACCUUGAGAUGGCCUUGCGGUGCAUUAGCUAGUUGGUGGGGUAACGGCCCACCAAGGCGACGAUGCAUAGCCGACCUGAGAGGGUGAUCGGCCACACUGGGACUGAGACACGGCCCAGACUCCUACGGGAGGCAGCAGUAGGGAAUCUUCCACAAUGGACGAAAGUCUGAUGGAGCAACGCCGCGUGAGUGAUGAAGGUUUUCGGAUCGUAAAACUCUGUUGUAAGGGAAGAACACGUACGAGAGGAAAUGCUCGUACCUUGACGGUACCUUACGAGAAAGCCACGGCUAACUACGUGCCAGCAGCCGCGGUAACAC